GAUGAACGCUGGCGGCGUGCUUAACACAUGCAAGUCGAACGAUGAAGCCCAGCUUGCUGGGUGGAUUAGUGGCGAACGGGUGAGUAACACGUGAGUAACCUGCCCUUAACUCUGGGAUAAGCCUGGGAAACUGGGUCUAAUACAGGAUAGGAGCGUCCACCGCAUGGUGGGUGUUGGAAAGAUUUAUCGGUUGUGGAUGGACUCGCGCCUUAUCAGCUUGUUGGUGAGGUAGUGGCUCAACAAGGGGCCGACGGGUAGCCGGCCUGAGAGGGUGACGGGCGACAUUGGGGCUGAGGCACGGCCGAGCCUCCUAGGGGAGGCAGCAGUGGGGAAUAUUGCACAAUGGGCGGAAGCCGGAUGCAGCAGCGCCGCGUGGGGGAUGACGGCCUUCGGGUUGUAAACCGCUUUCGCAGGUGAAGAAGCGAGAGUGACGGUCAUGGGUAAAGAAGCACCGGCUAACUACGUG
rnacentral:rRNA from 1 species